rnacentral:piRNA from 1 species
UCCAAACAGAGAUAUAGCCGACGU